rnacentral:tRNA from 1 species
GCCUGGGUGGCUCAGUUGGUUGAGUUUCCGACUUCGGCUCAGGUCAUGAUCUCAUGGUCCGUGAGUUCAAGCCCCGCUUCAGGCU